UACGAAGGGGGCUAGCGUUGCUCGGAAUUACUGGGCGUAAAGGGCGCGUAGGCGGAUCGUUAAGUCAGAGGUGAAAUCCCAAGGCUCAACCUUGGAACUGCCUUUGAUACUGGCGAUCUUGAGUAUGAGAGAGGUAUGUGGAACUCCGAGUGUAGAGGUGAAAUUCGUAGAUAUUCGGAAGAACACCAGUGGCGAAGGCGACAUACUGGCUCAUUACUGACGCUGAGGCGCGAAAGCGUGGGGAGCAAACAGG
rnacentral:rRNA from 1 species